UCAGCGAUUGGGGUGAAGUCGUAACAAGGUAGCCGUAGGAGAACCUGCGGCUGGAUCACCUCCUUUCUAAGGAAUACGU
rnacentral:rRNA from 1 species